AGUGAACGCUGGCGGUAGGCCUAACACAUGCAAGUCGAACGGCAGCACAGUAAGAGCUUGCUCUUACGGGUGGCGAGUGGCGGACGGGUGAGGAAUACAUCGGAAUCUACUUUUUCGUGGGGGAUAACGUAGGGAAACUUACGCUAAUACCGCAUACGACCUACGGGUGAAAGCAGGGGAUCUUCGGACCUUGCGCGAUUGAAUGAGCCGAUGUCGGAUUAGCUAGUUGGCGGGGUAAAGGCCCACCAAGGCGACGAUCCGUAGCUGGACUGAGAGGAUGAUCAGCCACACUGGAACUGAGACACGGUCCAGACUCCUACGGGAGGCAGCAGUGGGGAAUAUUGGACAAUGGGCGCAAUCCUGAUCCAGCCAUACCGCGUGGGUGAAGAAGGCCUUCGGAUUGUAAAGCCCUUUUGUUGGGAAAGAAAGGCAGCAGGUUAAUACCACGCUGUUCUGACGGUACCCAAAGAAUAAGCACCGGCUAACUUCGUG
rnacentral:rRNA from 1 species